rnacentral:rRNA from 1 species
GCCCCAGUAACGGCGAGUGAAGCGGCAAGAGCUCAAAUUUGAAAGCUGGCUCCUUCGGGGUCCGCAUUGUAAUUUGCAGAGGAUGUUUCGGGAGCGGCCCCCAUCUAAGUGUCCUGGAACGGACCGUCAUAGAGGGUGAGAAUCCCGUAUGGGAUGGGGUGCCCGCGCCCAUGUGAAACUCCUUCGACGAGUCGAGUUGUUUGGGAAUGCAGCUCUAAAUGGGUGGUAAAUUUCAUCUAAAGCUAAAUAUUGGCCGGAGACCGAUAGCGCACAAGUAGAGUGAUCGAAAGAUGAAAAGCACUUUGAAAAGAGAGUUAAAAAGCACGUGAAAUUGUUGAAAGGGAAGCGUUUGCGAUCAGACUCGCCGACGGGGUUCAGCCUGCCUUCGGGCAGGUGUACUUCCCCGCCGGCGGGCCAGCGUCGGUUUGGGCGGCCGGUCAAAGGCUCUGGGAAUGUAACGCCUCUCGGGGCGUCUUAUAGCCCAGGGUGUCAUGCGGCCUGCCCGGACCGAGGAACGCGCUUCGGCUCGGACGCUGGCAUAAUGGUCGUAAACGAC